AGUGAACGCUGGCGGUAGGCCUAAUACAUGCAAGUCGAACGGCAGCACAGUAAGAGCUUGCUCUUACGGGUGGCGAGUGGCGGACGGGUGAGGAAUACAUCGGAAUCUACUUUUUCGUGGGGGAUAACGUAGGGAAACUUACGCUAAUACCGCAUACGACCUACGGGUGAAAGCAGGGGAGCUUCGGACCUUGCGCGAUUGAAUGAGCCGAUGUCGGAUUAGCUAGUUGGCGGGGUAAAGGCCCACCAAGGCGACGAUCCGUAGCUGGUCUGAGAGGAUGAGCAGCCACUGUGGAACUGAGACACGGUCCAGACUCCUACGGGAGGCAGCAAUGGGGAAUAUUGGACAAUGUGCGCAAGCCUGUACCAGCCAUACCGAGUGGGUGAAGAAGGCCUUCGGGUUGUAAAGCCCUUUUGUUGGGAAAGAAAAGCAGCAGGUUAAUACCCCGCUGUUCUGACGGUACCAAAAGAAUAAGCACCGGCUAACUUCGU
rnacentral:rRNA from 1 species